rnacentral:rRNA from 1 species
CCUACGGGAGGCAGCAGUGGGGAAUAUUGCACAAUGGGGGAAACCCUGAUGCAGCAACGCCGCGUGGGUGAAGAAGCAUUUCGGUAUGUAAAGCUCUAUCAGCAGGGAAGAGAAUGACGGUACCUGACUAAGAAGCCCCGGCUAACUACGUGACAGAAGCCCCGGUAAUACGGAGGGGGCAAGCGUUAUCCGGAUUUACAGGGUGUAAGGGGAGCGUAGACGGUUGUGCAAGUCUGAAGUGAAAGCCUGCGGCUCAACUGCGGAACGGCUUUGGAAACUGUGUAACUGGAGUGCUGGAGAGGUGAGCGGAAUGCCUGGUGUAGCGGUGAAAUGCGUAGAGAUCAGGAGGAACACCGGCGGCGAAGGCGGCUUACUGGACAGUGACUGACGUUGAGGCACGAAAGCGUGGGGAGCAAACAGGAUUAGAUACCCGUGUAGUC